rnacentral:rRNA from 1 species
GACGAACCGUGCGAACGUUGUUCGGAAUCACUGGGCUUAAAGGGCGCGUAGGCGGGCCGCCAAGUCCGCGGUGAAAUCCCCCGGCUCAACCGGGGAACUGCCGCGGAUACUGGAGGUCUCGAGGGAGGUAGGGGCAUGCGGAACUGCGGGUGGAGCGGUGAAAUGCGUAGAUAUCUGGAGGAACACCGGUGGCGAAGGCGGCGUUCUGGACUGCAACUGACACUGAAAAACGAAAGCCAGGGGAGCAAACGGG